UACGGGGGGGGCAAGCGUUGUUCGGAAUUACUGGGCGUAAAGGGCGCGUAGGCGGUCUGCUAAGUUGAAUGUGAAAACUCUGGGCUUAACCCAGAGCCUGCAUUCAAUACUGGCAGGCUAGAGUUCUGGAGGGGAUAGCGGAAUUCCUGGUGUAGCGGUGAAAUGCGUAGAUAUCAGGAGGAACACCGGUGGCGAAGGCGGCUAUCUGGACAGAGUCUGACGCUGAGGCGCGAAAGCUAGGGGAGCAAACAGG
rnacentral:rRNA from 1 species